rnacentral:rRNA from 1 species
GCCAACGAUCAUACCACGUUGAAUACACCAGUUCCCGUCAGUUCACUGAAGUUAAGCAACGUCGGGCGUGGUCAUUACUUGGAUGGGUGACCACUUGGGAACACCACGUAUCGUUGGCUCAU